AACGAACGCUGGCGGCAUGCCUAACACAUGCAAGUCGAACGAGACCUUCGGGUCUAGUGGCGCACGGGUGCGUAACGCGUGGGAACCUGCCCUUAGGUUCGGAAUAACUCCCCGAAAGGGGUGCUAAUACCGGAUAAUGUCUUCGGACCAAAGAUUUAUCGCCUUUGGAUGGGCCCGCGUUGGAUUAGCUAGUUGGUAGGGUAAAAGCCUACCAAGGCGACGAUCCAUAGCUGGUCUGAGAGGAUGAUCAGCCACACUGGGACUGAGACACGGCCCAGACUCCUACGGGAGGGAGCAGUGGGGAAUAUUGGACAAUGGGCGAAAGCCUGAUCAAGCAAUGCCGCGUGAGUGAUGAAGGCCUUAGGGUUGCAAAGCUCUUUUACCCGGGAUGAUAAUGACAGUACCGGGAGAAUAAGCUCCGGCUAACUCCGUG
rnacentral:rRNA from 1 species